rnacentral:rRNA from 1 species
UACAGAGGUCUCAAGCGUUGUUCGGAUUCAUUGGGCGUAAAGGGCGCGUAGGCGGCCCGCUAAGUCGAACGUGAAAUCCCCGGGCUCAACCCGGGAACUGCGUCCGAUACUGGUGGGCUUGAAUCCGGGAGAGGGAUGCGGAAUUCCAGGUGUAGCGGUGAAAUGCGUAGAUAUCUGGAGGAACACCGGUGGCGAAGGCGGCAUCCUGGACCGGCAUUGACGCUGAGGCGCGAAAGCCAGGGGAGCAAACGGG